rnacentral:misc_RNA from 1 species
AAGUCGUAACAAGGUUUCCGUAGGUGAACCUGCGGAAGGAUCAUUAUCACGUAUCCACGUAUAAACCAUUGUGAACUUUAACUCUUUUUUUUAAAAAAGAAAGUAGGAUUUUGCGUUAAUUCGCAUCAUUCUCUUUUUUUUUAAAAAUAAUUAACUAUUUAAACCUUUAAUUAACAAUUGAACUGAUUUUAUUUCUUACUCUUCGGAGAAGAAAUUUUAUUACGAAACAAAGAACAACUCUUAGCAACGGAUAUCUUGGUUCUC